rnacentral:sRNA from 2 species
AAAUAGCAAACGCUUAAUCCUAAUAGGAGCGGGGGAACCACUUUUUGGGGUGAAUCUAAUAGUAAGUUUAAGUCUAGAGCUGAGUUCAAGUAAAAUAAUGAGUAGUUCACAAUUUACUUAUACUUAAUCUUAAACUUAGUCUUGAUUAUUAGUAGGGCUAUCCUUUUAGUCCGAAUCCGACAGCUAACCUCGUCAGCGUGAAAGGGAGACCAG